UGUUUCAGUUCAGUGCGAGUGGUUGGAAAGUCUGUUGCCAAACCAACACUCCUCCUCAACAGUUUCCAAGUCCUGAAGCUAUUAAUCCAACCAUCGAAGAAUACUUCCAGAGUUUUGUGGCCCCCACCGGUUUGGUUCAACCACAGUUUCUCCAAAAUCGGCCUACAAAUUUCGUAGCCAAACAGCUUCCUGGCUUGCCUCGCUGAGAGCCACGUAUUCGGACUCCAUGGAUGACAGCGCAACACUAUUCUGGAGUCUACUCGCCCAAGAAAUCGCACCACCCGAAUAUAGAAACACGUAUCCAGCAGUCGAUCGUCGGGUCUUCAAAUCGCCAGCCCAAUCAGCAUCAGAGUACCCGAGAAGCUUUCCAGAAGAAUCACCAUAUUUGAGCCGCCAAGAUUUGGUUCCUUUUAAGUAGCUCAAAAUCAGCUUCGCUGGGACCCAAUCCGCCUUCGUCGGCGAACACACUCUGCGCCCCAGGAUCGAAACGCUCACCGCAAUGUCGGGUCUCGCACACACCGCUACGUACAAAAGUGCCCCUACGAGGCUCCUAUAGGGCGUCGAACCAUCCAGGGUUGGGCUUUCGGAUUCCAUUUUAACGAAACCUUCUUCCAUCGGCGUUUUGGCAGCCUUUGCAUCGGAAAGGCCAAACCGUUGUACUAUUCGAUCGAUGUAGCUCUCCAAGGAAAUGCUGUAUACGUUUUGAAAUCUCGUAAUUUCCAAUCCCAAGAAGUAGCUCGCAUCACCAAGAUCCGUCAGUUCGAACUCUUUCCUAAGUGACUGAUAGAUUUUCUCUAUCUCGGUACCAUCCUCGCUUCCCACCAAAAUAUCGUCGACGUAGAUGAGAAGGUACACUCUUUUCCCAUUGGCCACUUUGGUGUACAAACAAGGAUCCGCUGUUCCCUGCUUUAAAUCCAUUUUCACCAGGACAUUGUGCAGCCGUUGGUUCCAGCAACGCGCAGUCUGUUUGAGCCCGUAUAUGCUCCUCCUCAAUCUGCAUACCAGCUGUUCACUGCCUUUCUUCACGUAACCAGGAGGCUGCCGCAUGUAGAGGUCCUCGUCCAAGACUCCGUAGAAGUAUGCAGUUUUGACGUCGAAAUGUUUCAACUGCAACUUGUACUUACUUCCUAUAGCCAGCAGCGUCCGCAAAGUGGUUUGUCGAAUAACAGGAGCAAACACCUCGUCGUAGUCCUGUCCGAACUUCUGGGUUAAACCUUGCGCCACCAGGCGAGCCUUAUAUUUGACUGGCUCCCCAGCAGCAUUACGCUUGACUUUGUAAACCCAGCGGCAUCCGACCGGCUUCCGUCCUACAGGCAGUUCCACCAAAUCCAAUGUUCCGUUGGUGGCGUGCGACUUGAGCUCGUCGUGCAUCGCUUGCUUCCAGUCACCACUGUUUUCACACUUCAAGGCUUCUGCAAGACUGGUGGGUUCCAUCUCCUCCUCGAAAGGAACUCCGGCCGCAAAGAUUUGUUCAAUCAACCGCUGUGGCAGGACUCCUUUCGUCGACCUCUGCGAUCGUCGAGCGAUGUCAUCCAACGGAAAACCCCUAAACGAUGUUUCCCCGUCAGUCGCAUCCCCAUAGAAGGAUUCUUCAAGAUCGUCGGAAUCAGCUUCACCACUAUCACUAUAGUCUUCACUUUCCAAAGGUGCGGCACACUUAAUGGUUCAUCAAAUUUGGCAUCCCGACUCACACAAAUUUUGUCGGUUUCUGGCACCAAGAAACGGUACGCUUUCCGUCCCACAGAAUACCCCACAAACACCAUUUUCAUCGCCUUUUGAUCCAACUUCCGGCGCUUUUCUUUUGGAAUGUGAACAAAAGCGUCCGAACCAAAAACCCUCAAGUGUCUAUACGACGGCUUCUUGCCGUACCACAACUCAUACGGCGUCUUCGGCCGUGUUGAUGUCGGCGACCUGUUCUGCAGAUAACACGCCGUGCUGAGUGCCUCACCCCAGUACUUCUUCUCGAGACCCGACUCAGCCAGCAUGCACCUGACCAUCUCGAUCAAGUAUCGAUUCUUCCGUUCCGCCUUCCCAUUCUGCUGUGGGGAAUACGGAGCCGUCUGCUGUAACUCAAUUCCACUUUGAGCCAGGAACAUCUUCAGUGCCUUGCUGGAAAAUUCACCACCACCGUCCGUGCGAAGAACCUUGGGAGACCGACCGAAUUGGUUUUUCAUCAUGGCACAGUACUCCCGCACUUUUGCUUCAACUUCCGACUUAGCUUUCAGCAAAUACACAACGGUGUACCCACUGAAGUCGUCCACCAUAGCCACAUAAAAACGAUUACCGCUCGGAGUGCACACUUCCAUGCCCCCCCCCCCUCCCCUCCAUUCGGAAUGGACUAAGUCACCCAUGUCGUGACCUAAGCCGACUUCAUCCUCCGGAACAGCGCUCGUGCUCCUUUUCGUCCUUCGAAGAGCAUCCAUUGUUCCAAUUUAAAGUUGAACUACACUUCUCAACUAUCACCAACAGAAUGACCAGUUUGCGUACCUGUCCCGGAACAGCGUUUUUCUAUUUCCCGAUGUUUUCUCUUUUACUCCUGCGGCGCGGUGUGUGUGCG